GCUCUUGUCUAUUCAAAUCAAGGGCUGGCGGAAAAGUGCCAGAAGGCAUUUCACUCUGCAAUAUUUCCUUUGGGUGCAAAACCCCAAGUCCCCGCUCUGAUUCAUCAACAGUCACACUACAACAGAAGUCGGAGUUCACAGCCGUGGCAGAGAGGAUCAUAUUUUAGUGCUGGUUUACAGCAUCCUGGGCCCACAGGAGCCAAGUGUCACAAAAAUGCUAUUUACAGCCCUAGAAAAAGAGAAGAGGAACCCAACAAAUGCAUCUGGCUUUCAGUGUCGUCUGGGAUUCCAGCGAGAGUUUGAUGCUUUCAAUAACUUGUUUUUCGUUUCCGCGCUUCCUUGUAGCCCUUCUGCAGCACUUCAGGAGGAGAGAAAAAGAUGGGAAGAUAAAGUGUGUUCAAAGGGAAAGUGCAGACUUCAGAGGGAGUGAUAACAUCAGCCCAGUCCCCUAGAAGUCCUCGAUAAAGUGAACGUAGCCUUUGGGGGGCUGCUAAUCCAGCCGACUUGUGACAGCUCAAACAGUGACGCCUGGUUCAGAGGAAGCGAACAGCACAUUCACACCUGUCUUCAUGAUCUCGGCGUUUCUCAGUGUGAACAGCUAUUAGCUGAAAAGUGGGCACUGGAGUUUGAGUUUCACCUCUUCGGACCACAAUCCAACGCCUCCUCAGUGAAGAAGAGAAGAACCGAUAAAUGUAUCACAUCUGCACUUUUAUAAAAUCACGAUUUUAUGUGUGUGUGGCGUCGCGGUGCCCUGAUUGGAGGCGUAUCUAUGACAGGCACAGCAACACCACCUGGCCUGCCCAGCAGGAAACAGUGUGUCUAAUAACGAGCGAAAGUGUCAGGCGCACACGAGGAACAUCCAGGCGGGAGGGGAACGAAAAGACGAGCGCAGACUCUCCGCAGCAGCCAGCGAACACACUUACUUGCAGCGUGUCUCUUUUUGCUCCAUCACAAACCACAUGAGGGGCAGAUAAUCACAUUUUCUGUCAAACUGAAUAGACGGCGGCAGCCUGGGGAGGGGAAAAUAAAGCCAUGGCGAUGUAAAUGUGUCUUGUUUGUUUCUUAUUCUGCAUGCAUCAGCUGUCACUGUUUCUCAGGUUUCGGCGGAGAAAUAAGUCUGCCGUCCCUGGAAGCCAACCGUGAAUCAAACCCAGGCCCUUUGAUUGGCAGCUCAUUACACUCCCUUUACGAAGACGGCAACCUUGGAAACUAUGGGACGGGAAAAGAGGUGGAACCAGGUUGAAUUCGGCAUGCGAGCAACGCAGAGGUGCAGAGGUGGAAUACAUUUGCACUUUUUUAGUGAGUUAUUGUGCUGACUUUUAUGUUCUUUAACCUGAAUGUACUUAACAUGCGAGUAAGAUUAAUGUGCAAACUCUACACCUUUGCUAAUUGAACCAUACAAAUGAUCACUCCCACCUAUUGGCUUUGACUAGUCUCUAUUCUCCAAUGCAAACAUUUG